rnacentral:rRNA from 1 species
UACACACCGCCCGUCACACCAUGGGAGUUGGUUCGACCUUAAGUCGGUGCGUGAACCUAGCAAUAGGGCAUAGCCGACCACGGUCGGGUUAGCGACUGGGGUG